UAAACCUAUUUGAACCUAACUAUUAUGUUAAAUGGCUUUGCUAAUUACAGAUAAAUCUUUACUAUACAUAAUAAUUAACACUCGGAUUACAGGAGGAGAUAUGGAGAUUCCAGAAUUUUAGUGGCAUUUUCAAUAUGAACCUAACGAAACAAUAUACUUAAAUAAAAAAUUAAACAACCCAAGUAAAGUAAACAUUGCAGCUUUUGAGCCACACAUACCAUGCUAGAAGAUAUUGUUGCAAGACUUGAAGUUGGACUUAAAAUUGAGAUUACCGAAUCCAAAAAGUAUUGUUAGCAUAUAAUUGAGUUAUGUAUUCAAACUACGCCCUGAGAUUGAAUAGCCGUGGGUCGCCAGCGUACGGUCCACUGGUUCCUCGAUAAUAACAGUAGGGCCUACCGAAUCCUUACAGGGACUG